UUUAGCUCUUAGGUUCCU
rnacentral:siRNA from 1 species